GCGUCCGUAGCUCAGCUGGAUAGAGUACCUGGCUACGAACCAGGCGGUCAGAGGUUCGAAUCCUCUCGGACCCGCCA
rnacentral:tRNA from 1 species